rnacentral:rRNA from 1 species
GACGAACGCUGGCGGCGUGCUUAACACAUGCAAGUCGAACGGAAAGGCCUCUUUCGGGGGGUACUCGAGUGGCGAACGGGUGAGUAACACGUGAGUAACCUGCCCUUGACUUUGGGAUAACUUCAGGAAACUGGGGCUAAUACCGGAUAGGAGCUCCUGCUGCAUGGUGGGGGUUGGAAAGUUUCGGCGGUUGGGGAUGGACUCGCGGCUUAUCAGCUUGUUGGUGGGGUAGUGGCUUACCAAGGCUUUGACGGGUAGCCGGCCUGAGAGGGUGACCGGCCACAUUGGGACUGAGAUACGGCCCAGACUCCUACGGGAGGCAGCAGUGGGGAAUAUUGCACAAUGGGUGGAAGCCUGAUGCAGCAACGCCGGGUGCGGGAUGACGGCCUUCGGGUUGGAAACCGCUUUCGCUCAUGACGAAGCUUUGUGUGACGGUAGUGGGUAAAGAAGCACCGGCUAACUACGUG